CAACUACAUAGCUUAAAACAUGACAAUGCUCAAGACAAAUGGUUUUAUAAUUCUGUUUUAACUACUCGGGUGUGAAACGUUACCUAAACAGCAAAAAUGAUUCAGUUCAGAAACAGAAAAUGCUUCUAUCUUAGCUCACAAAUUAUAAUAAAAAUAUAAAUCCCUUCAUGUAGCAAACACUUGUUUUCAAUCAGGUUCUCCAUUGCUUAAAUGUUGCUGGGGUACAUGAAUACUCUAACCUUGUCACCCAUGGACUUUGGUGGGAGAUUAGACUUGAACUUCGCUCUAACAAUGCCACUGUUACCAUGAGG
rnacentral:misc_RNA from 1 species